rnacentral:rRNA from 1 species
GACGAACGCUGGCGGCGUGCCUAAUACAUGCAAGUAGAACGCUGAAGAGAGGAGCUUCCUCUUCUUGGAUGAGUUGCGAACGGGUGAGUAACGCGUAGGUAACCUGCCUUGUAGCGGGGGAUAACUAUUGGAAACGAUAGCUAAUACCGCAUAACAAUGGAUGACACAUGUCAUUUAUUUGAAAGGGGCAAUUGCUCCACUACAAGAUGGACCUGCGUUGUAUUAGCUAGUAGGUGAGGUAAUGGCUCACCUAGGCGACGAUACAUAGCCGACCUGAGAGGGUGAUCGGCCACACUGGGACUGAGACACGGCCCAGACUCCUACGGGAGGCAGCAGUAGGGAAUCUUCGGCAAUGGGGGCAACCCUGACCGAGCAACGCCGCGGGAGUGAAGAAGGGUUUCGGAUCGUAAAGCUCUGUUGUAAGUCAAGAACGGGUGUGAGAGUGGAAAGUUCACACUGUGACGGUAGCUUACCAGAAAGGGACGGCUAACUACGUG